UACGUAGGUGGCAAGCGUUGUCCGGAUUUACUGGGCGUAAAGGGCGUGCAGGCGGUUUGUUAAGUGCAGAGUGAAAGCUCCCGGCUCAACUGGGAGAGGUCUUUGCAUACUGGCAAACUCGAGGGAGGCAGAGGAAAGUGAAGAUUCCCGGUGUAGUGGUGAUAUGCGUAGAUAUCGUAAGGAAGACCAGUGGCGAAGGCGAGUUCCUGGACAGUUGCUGACGCUGAGGCACGAAGGCCAGGGGAGCAAAGCGGG
rnacentral:rRNA from 1 species